rnacentral:rRNA from 1 species
GUCUGCAACCCGACUACAUGAAGCUGGAAUCGCUAGUAAUCGCGAAUCAGAAUGUCGCGGUGAAUACGUUCCCGGGUCUUGUACACACCGCCCGUCACACCAUGGGAGUCGGAAAUGCCCGAAGUCAGUGACCCAACCGUAAGGAGGGAGCUGCCGAAGGUGGAGCCGGUAACUGGGGUGAAGUCGUAACAAGGUAAC